AGUGAAAGCGUGCGUAAGUGAAGUCAUGCAAAAAUUAACGAAUCCACCGAGCGCGCGCGUUAAAUCAUGCCUGAAAUAUCGAGGGGAGGGAGGGGGGAAGUGUUAUUUACACUUUUCGCUUUCUUCACGUUGUGGAUGUUUUCUCUCAAGGGGAGGAGGAAAGAGGAAAUCUCUCAAGAAGCAUUCAGCUGAGGAGGUUUCUUCAUAGAACGAAGAAGCAGCGUGGUUGUAAACGCAGUUACUUCGAAUCAUGGAUCACUAUCGGCAUUAUCGAACACUGUUAACAGAUCUAUCAAUCGGCCAUCUGAAGCUUCCAGAAGAAUGAUUAAUUUGUGAUCUCCUUCGGGGCUGGCUACUUGGCUAUGCGGGUCAACGGGUCUAUUUCUCAAUCACUCGUCAACGUGCCCCGUCUACCCCGAUGUAGGCCCGCCACUUCUUCCACUGUCACGAGAAGAGUAACGUUCACCGUUAGUCAAGGAGCACUGCGUUUCCGACUGCGGCAACGCGAUUUCGAGCCAAGAAAAAGAGAGAGAGAGAGAGAGAGAAAGAAACAAGAGUUCACUACGUCGUCAGCAAGAGUCCCGGAACGAAAGCCCCAAUAUGUAUCGUUCGUGAGCGUUAAUAAGUUAAAGAGACACUUCACGCGAGCGGCACAAGCGGAGAAAGACGUGAGCGUGAGCGCUGACACAUCGGCUUGCGCCUUUUACACACAGUUCCAUACGCGCAUACGAACACGCGCGCGCGCGCGCGCGCGUGCGCAUACAUA